UACGAAGGGGGGCUAGCGUUGCUCGGAAUCACUGGGCGUAAAGGGUGCGUAGGCGGGUUUUUAAGUCAGGGGUGAAAUCCUGGAGCUCAACUCCAGAACUGCCUUUGAUACUGAAGAUCUUGAGUUCGGGAGAGGUGAGUGGAACUGCGAGUGUAGAGGUGAAAUUCGUAGAUAUUCGCAAGAACACCAGUGGCGAAGGCGGCUCACUGGCCCGAUACUGACGCUGAGGCACGAAAGCGUGGGGGAGCAACAGG
rnacentral:rRNA from 1 species